ACUCCUACGGGAGGCAGCAGUAGGGAAUCUUCCACAAUGGGCGCAAGCCUGAUGGAGCAACACCGCGUGAGUGAAGGAGGGUUUCGGCUCGUAAAGCUCUGUUGUUAAAGAAGAACACGUAUGAGAGUAACUGUUCAUACGUUGACGGUAUUUAACCAGAAAGUCACGGCUAACUACGUGCCAGCAGCCGCGGUAAUACGUAGGUGGCAAGCGUUAUCCGGAUUUAUUGGGCGUAAAGAGAGUGCAGGCGGUUUUCUAAGUCUGAUGUGAAAGCCUUCGGCUUAACCGGAGAAGUGCAUCGGAAACUGGAUAACUUGAGUGCAGAAGAGGGUAGUGGAACUCCAUGUGUAGCGGUGGAAUGCGUAGAUAUAUGGAAGAACACCAGUGGCGAAGGCGGCUACCUGGUCUGCAACUGACGCUGAGACUCGAAAGCAUGGGUAGCGAACAGGAUUAGAUACCCUGGUAGGAUAGCG
rnacentral:rRNA from 1 species